UACAGAGGGGGCAAGCGUUGUUCGGAAUUACUGGGCGUAAAGGGCGCGUAGGUGGCCUUCUAAGUUGAACGUGAAAUCCCUGGGCUCAACCCAGGAACUGCGUCCAAGACUGGGAGGCUUGAAUCCGGGAGAGGGAUGCGGAAUUCCAGGUGUAGCGGUGAAAUGCGUAGAUAUCAGGAGGAACGCCAAUGGCGAAGGCAGCUCGCUGGAACGGUACUGACGCUGAGGCGCGAAAGCGUGGGGAGCGAACAGG
rnacentral:rRNA from 1 species